rnacentral:rRNA from 1 species
UAGGGAAUCUUCCACAAUGGACGCAAGUCUGAUGGAGCAACGCCGCGUGAGUGAAGAAGGUUUUCGGACCGUAAAGCUCUGUUGUUGGUGAAGAAGGAUAGAGGUAGUAACUGGCCUUUAUUUGACGGUAAUCAACCAGAAAGUCACGGCUAACUACGUGCCAGCAGCCGCGGUAAUACGUAGGUGGCAAGCGUUGUCCGGAUUUAUUGGGCGUAAAGCGAGCGCAGGCGGAAGAAUAAGUCUGAUGUGAAAGCCCUCGGCUUAACCGAGGAAUUGCAUCGGAAACUGUUUUUCUUGAGUG